UACGAAGGGGGCUAGCGUUGCUCGGAAUCACUGGGCGUAAAGCGCACGUAGGCGGCUUUCUAAGUCAGGGGUGAAAUCCUGGAGCUCAACUCCAGAACUGCCUUUGAUACUGGGGAGCUCGAGUCCGGAAGAGGUGAGUGGAACUCCGAGUGUAGAGGUGAAAUUCGUAGAUAUUCGGAAGAACACCAGUGGCGAAGGCGGCUCACUGGACCGGUAUUGACGCUGAGGUGCGAAAGCGUGGGGAGCAAACAGG
rnacentral:rRNA from 1 species